rnacentral:tRNA from 1 species
GUUGGUAUCGAUUAGGGGUUAAAUCACUUCGUUGUGGUCAGAUAGCAAAUCCCGAAGAGCCGCUGGUUCGAUUCCAGCUACCGACA